ACGCGUGUGUGUCCGGUUUGU
rnacentral:miRNA from 1 species